rnacentral:tRNA from 1 species
AGCUCAGUGGUAGAGCGUCUCGUUGCCAACGAGAAGGUCGUGGGUUUAUAUGCCUUGCUAAUCCUUACA